rnacentral:rRNA from 1 species
CAGUCGCCGCGGGAAUACGGAGGGUGCGAGCGUUAAUCGGAAUAACUGGGCGUAAAGGGCACGCAGGCGGUGACUUAAGUGAGGUGUGAAAGCCCCGGGCUUAACCUGGGAAUUGCAUUUCAUACUGGGUCGCUAGAGUACUUUAGGGAGGGGUAGAAUUCCACGUGUAGCGGUGAAAUGCGUAGAGAUGUGGAGGAAUACCGAAGGCGAAGGCAGCCCCUUGGGAAUGUACUGACGCUCAUGUGCGAAAGCGUGGGGAGCGAACAGGAUUAGAUACCCCUGUAGUCCCUGUCUCUUAUAC